rnacentral:rRNA from 1 species
GUGACGAUGAUGCCCACGCUUGCUGGUGGAGUUAGUGGCGAACGGGUAGAGUAACACGUGAGUAACCUGCCCCUCGACUCUGGGAUAAGCGUUGGAAACGACGUCUAAUACUGGAUAUGAUCACGUGGCCGCAUGGUCUGGUGGUGGAAAGAUUUUUUGGUUGGGGAUGGACUCGCGGCCUAUCAGCUUGUUGGUGAGGUAAUGGCUCACCAAGGCGACGACGGGUAGCCGGCCUGAGAGGGUGACCGGCCACACUGGGACUGAGACACGGCCCAGACUCCUACGGGAGGCAGCAGUGGGGAAUAUUGCACAAUGGGCGAAAGCCUGAUGCAGCAACGCCGCGUGAGGGAUGACGGCCUUCGGGUUGUAAACCUCUUUUAGUAGGGAAGAAGCGAAAGUGACGGUACCUGCAGAAAAAGCACCGGCUAACUACGU